rnacentral:rRNA from 1 species
UACGUAGGGUGCGAGCGUUAAUCGGAAUUACUGGGCGUAAAGAGCGUGUAGGCGGCCAAACAGGUCCGUUGUGAAAACUGGAGGCUCAACCUCCAGACGUCGACGGAAACCGUAUGGCUAGAGUCCGGAAGAGGAUGGUGGAAUUCCCAGUGUAGAGGUGAAAUUCGUAGAUAUUGGGAAGAACACCGAUGGCGAAGGCAGCCAUCUGGACCGACACUGACGCUGAGGCGCGAAAGCGUGGGGAGCAAACAGG